GUUAAACGUCACAAUAUUUUGAAGGCACUAGAUCCCAUCUAAUCUUGGAAGCAAAGCAGGGUCAGACCUGGUUAGUACUUGGGUACAGGACAGCUAAGGAAUACCAGGCGCUAUGGGCU
rnacentral:rRNA from 1 species